GACGAACGCUGGCGGCGUGCCUAAUACAUGCAAGUCGAACGAGAGCGACCGGUGCUUGCCCUGGUCAAUCUAGUGGCGAACGGGUGAGUAACACGUGGGUAACCUGCCCAUCAGAGGGGGAUAACAUUCGGAAACGGAUGCUAAAACCGCAUAGGUCUUCGAACCGCAUGGUUUGAAGAGGAAAAGAGGCGCAAGCUUCUGCUGAUGGAUGGACCCGCGGUGCAUUAGCUAGUUGGUGAGGUAACGGCUCACCAAGGCCGUGAUGCAUAGCCGACCUGAGAGGGUGAUCGGCCACAUUGGGACUGAGACACGGCCCAAACUCCUACGGGAGGCAGCAGUAGGGAAUCUUCCGCAAUGGACGCAAGUCUGACGGAGCAACGCCGCGUGAGUGAAGAAGGUGUUCGGAUCGUAAAACUCUGUUGUUAGAGAAGAACAAGUGCUAGAGUAACUGUUAGCGCCUUGACGGUAGCUAACCAGAAAGCCACGGCUAACUACGUG
rnacentral:rRNA from 1 species